AGAGUUUGAUCCUGGCUCAGAAUCAACGCUGGCGGCGUGCCUCAGACAUGCAAGUCGAACGAUUAAAGCUCUCUUCGAGAGUGCAUAGAGUGGCGCACGGGUGAGUAACACGUAAGUAAUCUACCUUCGAGUGGGGAAUAACGUCCGGAAACGGACGCUAAUACCGCAUAAUGCAGCGGCAUCGCAAGAUGACAGUUGUUAAAGAUUUAUCGCUUGAAGAGGAGCUUGCGGCAGAUUAGCUAGUUGGUAAGGUAAUGGCUUACCAAGGCUACGAUCUGUAACCGGUCUUAGAGGACGGUCGGUCACACUGACACUGAAUAACGGGUCAGACUCCUACGGGAGGCAGCAGUCGGGAAUUUUGGGCAAUGGGCGAAAGCCUGACCCAGCAACGCCGCGUGAAGGAUGAAGUAUUUCGGUAUGUAAACUUCGAAAGAAUGGAAGAAUAAAUGACGGUACCAUUUAUAAGGUCCGGCUAACUACGUGCCAGCAGCCGCGGUAAUAC
rnacentral:rRNA from 1 species